AACCUUCCCUAUAGUACGGAAUAGCUCAGGGAAACUUGAAGUAAUACCGUAUACGCCCGAGAGGGGAAAGAUUUAUCGCUAUAGGAUGGGCCCGCGUCGGAUUAGCUAGUUGGUGAGGUAAUGGCUCACCAAGGCGACGAUCCGUAGCUGGUUUGAGAGAACGACCAGCCACACUGGGACUGAGACACGGCCCAGACUCCUACGGGAGGCAGCAGUGGGGAAUAUUGGACAAUGGGCGCAAGCCUGAUCCAGCCAUGCCGCGUGAGUGAUGAAGGCCUUAGGGUUGUAAAGCUCUUUUAGCAGGGAAGAUAAUGACUGUACCUGCAGAAUAAGCUCCGGCUAACUUCGUG
rnacentral:rRNA from 1 species